GAUGUUGCAUGUAUUUUGAAAUGGGCCUAUGGGCCAUACUGUUAUCUGAAUAAGGGGCUAAGGCCCAGUUUAUUGUAAUCUGAAAAGGGCUCUGGCCCAGUACCACUGUUACCUGAAUGGGCUUAAGCCCAAUAGGCUUGAGCUGACUUGGGCUUUGAAUGGGUUUUUCUUACACACUGAGUUUCCCCAAACUCACCCCUUUUAUUUUCAUCCACGCAGGAAAUCCCCAACCAUAGUGGGCUUGGAGCUGUGAAGGAAUUCGAAGUG
rnacentral:lncRNA from 1 species